GCCAAACAACGGUAUUCAAGUCAGGAGUUUAAGCGGUAUGUGAUGAUUGCCGUGGGCUCCAGCGAUGAGAUGAGGGUCUGGUUACGAUACUGUCACGAUCUGGGAUACUUAGAAGAAGAGGAUUGGCACCGUUUACGGGAUGGAUAUCAAGAAAUCUCGAAAAUGCUGGCCGUUUAUACAGGAGCUGGAAGUAGCUGUUUUUUUUUCUGACUUCUGUCCUCUGUCUUCUGACUUCUGGUUGGUAGGAGAACAUUGUGGUGGUCUGCGAAGGCGUACCGUAAGGAGCGUUGGAGACCCCACAAGCGCUUAUGUUGACACGAGUAGCGAAAAACAAGGUGAGAAACCUUGUCGCCGUAAGCCUCAGGUUUCCUGUAGUCAAGUUAAUCUGCUCAGGGUUAGUCGGCCCUAAGGCGAGGCCGAAAGGCGUAGUCGAUGGGAAACGGGUUAAUAUUCCCGUACCGAUUUCAUAAUGCUAUGGUAAGGGGGACGGAGAAGGAUAGGCCGGCCAUCUGGUGGAAUAGGUGGUUUAAGCGUGUAGGCGGACAACUUAGGUAAAUCCGGGUUGUCAACGCUGAGGCGUGAUGACGAAGUCCGUAGGACUGCAAAGCGGUUGAUUCCCUGCUUCCAGGAAAAGCCUCGUAUCUAGUUAUGAAAGCGACCGUACCGUAAACCGACACAGGUAGGCUGGUAGAGUAUACCAAGGCGCUUGAGAGAACUCUGGUUAAGGAACUCGGCAAAAUAGCACCGUAACUUCGGGAGAAGGUGUACCCGCGUGGUGAAGUCCCUUGCGGACGGAGCCUGGUCGGGUUGCAGUGAAAUGGGGGGAGCGACUGUUUACUAAAAACACAGGACUCUGCGAAGCCGUAAGGCGAGGUAUAGGGUCUGACGCCUGCCCGGUGCCGGAAGGUUAAGGGGACGAGUUAGCUUCGGCAACGCUUUGAACCGAAGCCCCGGUAAACGGCGGCCGUAACUAUAACGGUCCUAAGGUAGCGAAAUUCCUUGUCGGGUAAGUUCCGACCUGCACCGAAUGGCGUAACGAUUUCCCACUGUCUCAACCAGGGACUCAGCGAAACUGUAGCACCGGUGAAGAUGCCGGUUUACCCCGCAACAAGACAGAAAGACCCGUGAACCUUUACUAUAGCUUGACAGUGGUUUUUGAGGCAGCAUGUGUAGGAUAGGUGGGAGGUGAUGAAGUGGGCACGCCAGUGUUCAUGGAGCCACCCUUGAAAUACCACCCUUGCUGUCUUAGGAAUCUAACCGCGACCCGUGAUCCGGGUCCGGGACAGUGUCUGGUGGGUAGUUUGACUGGGGCGGUCGCCUCCUAAAAGCGUAACGGAGGCGCGCGAAGGUUCCCUCAGGUUGAUUGGAAACCAAACCGCAGAGUGUAAAGGCAUAAGGGAGCUUGACUGCGAGAGAGACAUCUCGAGCAGGUACGAAAGUAGGUCUUAGUGAUCCGGCGGUUCCGCAUGGAAGGGCCGUCGCUCAACGGAUAAAAGGUACUCCGGGGAUAACAGGCUUAUCUCCCCCAAGAGUCCAUAUCGACGGGGAGGUUUGGCACCUCGAUGUCGGCUCAUCACAUCCUGGGGCUGAAGCAGGUCCCAAGGGUUUGGCUGUUCGCCAAUUAAAGUGGUACGCGAGCUGGGUUUAAAACGUCGUGAGACAGUUUGGUCCUUAUCUGUUGCGGGCGCAGGAUAUUUGAGGAGAGCUUCCCCUAGUACGAGAGGACCGGGGUGGACGAACCGAUGGUGUACCAGUUGUUUCGCCAGAAAGCAUCGCUGGGUAGCUAUGUUCGGCAGGGAUAACCGCUGAAAGCAUCUAAGCGGGAAGCCCACUCCAAGAUAAGAUAUCCCAUGGCUUAGUCGCCAUCUGAAGGCUCGUGGGAGACUACCACGUUGAUAGGUCGGAGGUGGACGCGUGGCAACACGUGGAGCUGACCGAUACUAAUGGGCCGUGCGGCUUAUCCAU
rnacentral:rRNA from 1 species